GUUGGUUGUGAGGGUCGUGAGCCCUGGGAAGAAGUGCUGCUACUGGUGGCAUCUUCUGUUCUUCUCCCAGGGCCAGCACUGAGGUCCGGGUGAUCAGGUUGCUCAGCCUCUUCUCGCCUUCAGCGUCUCCAGCGACGGGGCCGGCUUUUCCCCUGUUUCCUCCAGCAGAGCCAGGAGGCUUGGUGGCUUGGUCAAGGCAUGCCGGUCUUGAGGGCCCUCAGCAGUGUGGGGAGCACGAAGUACGCACUGCUGCUGCCUGCGGCCACCCUGGCUCAGCCCCAGCAAUGCACGAAGAGCUGCCUUUGGUUCCUGAUUAUGCACACACCCACAUUUGUGGAGCCCAGCUUUGCUUAGAUACUCGCGUAGCCAUGCAGGAGGAGAAAGUGAGGAACUCACCAGCCCUUGUUUACCGUCUGGUUUCAAAUCUGGGUGGCAGCAUGCUGAGAUAGUGUACGAAAUCAAAGGACAGCAGGCAG
ensembl:lncRNA